rnacentral:lncRNA from 1 species
UUUGCUACUGCUACAUUCUGUUAUGGGUGAAAAUAAUUACUUAACUAAAAACCAGACCAGUGAAAGCAGUAUGAUGCCCUAUAAUGUAGGAGAAUGCUGCUGUCUCAGUGUUUAGUCUAUAGCUGAAUUUAAUCAGAAAGGGAAGCAAUGUAGGUCAUCUGUGGGUGUUUGCAGGCCAUAAUUGUGUUGUGCUCAUCUUGUUAUCGCAGGAAGCAUCUUCAAAACGCAGUGCUACAAGGAUGUGAGCAGCAGUUUCCCUUCAACGAACGGGUCAAAUUCAUGGAAGCCACGUGCCUGCUGCUUCUGGCCUACACAAACAUGCAGCCACCAUACUAAGGUUCUUGCAAAGACAUUCUACACAAACUUGCCCAAAGGCGGAAGGAAGGCACGCACAGAUGGAAGCACAGAAAUCAUGGGGCUGCCAUACAAGCUGUGAAUGAGCGUUAACCUACGUACAGAAAGGAGCGAAGUGGAGCUGUCCAUGGACCGUGCACACAGUUUCAUA